CCUACGGGAGGCUGCAGUGGGGAAUAUUGCACAAUGGGGGGAACCCUGAUGCAGCGACGCCGCGUGGGUGAAGGAGUAUUUCGGUUUGUAAAGCCCUUUUAGCAGGGAAGAACAAUGACGGUUCCUGAUUAAGAAGAACCGGCCAAACACGUGCCAGCAGCCGCGGUAAUACGUAGGGGGAAAGCGUUAUCCGGAUUUACGGGGUGUAAAGGGAGCGCAGGCGGCGCGUUAAGCCUGGUGUGAAAGUCCGCGGCCCAACCGCGGGACUGCAUUGGGAACUGGCGGGCUGGAGUGCCGGAGGGGUAGGCGGAAUUCCUAGUGUAGCGGUGAAAUGCGUAGAUAUUAGGAGGAACACCAGUGGCGAAGGCGGCCUACUGGACGGUAACUGACGCUGAGGCUCGAAAGCGUGGGGAGCAAACAGGAUUAGAUACCCCGGUAGUC
rnacentral:rRNA from 1 species